GACGAACCGUGCGAACGUUGUUCGGAAUCACUGGGCUUAAAGGGCGCGUAGGCGGCCGGGUUGGUCGUGGGUGAAAUCCCCCAGCUUAACUGGGGAACUGCCUACGAUACUGCCUGGCUCGAGGGAGGAAGGGCGGUCGGAACUGUCGGUGGAGCGGUGAAAUGCGUUGAUAUCGACAGGAACGCCGGUGGCGAAAGCGGCCGCUGGCCCUCUUCUGACGCCUGAGGCGCGAAAGCCAGGGAGCGAACGGG
rnacentral:rRNA from 1 species